UACAUGGGGUGCAAACGUUGCUCGGAAUUAUUGGGCGUAAAGCGCGCGUAGGCGGUUACUCAAGUCGGAUGUGAAAGCCCUCGGCUUAACUGAGGAAGUGCACCCGAAACUGAGUAGCUAGAGUACUAAAGAGGGUCGCGGAAUUCCCGGUGUAGAGGUGAAAUUCGUAGAUAUGGGGAGGAACACCGGUGGCGAAGGCGGCCAUCUGGACGGUAACUGACGCUGAGACGCGAAAGCGUGGGGAGCAAACAGG
rnacentral:rRNA from 1 species